rnacentral:rRNA from 1 species
UGGGAACCUUCCCUAUGGUUCGGAAUAGCUCAGGGAAACUUGAGGUAAUACCGGAUAAGCCCUUACGGGGAAAGAUUUAUCGCCAUUGGAUGGGCCCGCGUCGGAUUAGCUAGUUGGUGAGGUAACGGCUCACCAAGGCGACGAUCCGUUGCUGGUCUGAGAGGAUGAUCAGCCACAUUGGGACUGAGACACGGCCCAGACUCCUACGGGAGGCAG